CAGAGUGUAGCUAAGAUAGAAAAGCACCUCCCUUACACCGAGAAGACAUCCGUGCAAUUCGGGUCACCCUGA
rnacentral:tRNA from 3 species